rnacentral:rRNA from 1 species
UACGUAGGUGGCAAGCGAUACUCGGAAUCACUAGGCGUAAAGCGCAGGUAGGCGGCUUGAUAAGUCUUUUGUGAAAGCUCCUGGCUUAACUGGGAGAGGUCAAAGGAAACUGUCAGGCUAGAGUUUGGUAGGGGAUACUGGAAUUCCUGGUGUAGCGGUGAAAUGCGUAGAUAUCAGGAGGAAUACCUAUGGCGAAAGCAGGUAUCUGGGCCACAACUGACGCUGAGGAGCGAAAGCGUGGGGAGCGAACAGG